CCUACGGGAGGCAGCAGUGAGGAAUAUUGGUCACUGGGCGCGAGCCUGAUCCAGCCAAGUAGCGUGAAGGAUGACUGCCCUACGGGUUGUAAACUUCUUUUAUAAAGGACUAAAGUGAGGCACGUGUGCCUUUUUGUAUGUACUUUAUGAAUAAGGAUCGGCUAACUCCGUGCCAGCAGCCGCGGUAAUACGGAGGAUCCGAGCGUUAUCCGGAUUUAUUGGGUUUAAGGGGAGCGUAGAUGGGUUGUUAAGUCAGUUGUGAAAGUUUGCGGCUCAACCGUAAAAUUGCAAUUGAUACUGGCAGCGUUGAGUACAGUAGAGGUAGGUGGAAUUCGUGGUGUAGCGGUGAAAUGCUUAGAGAUCACGAAGAACUCCGAUUGCGAAGGCAGCCUACUAAACUGACACUGACAUUGAGGUUCGAAAGUGUGGGUAGCAAACAGGAUUAGAUACCCUUGUAGUC
rnacentral:rRNA from 1 species